CUCCGGUUGAUCCUGCCGGACCCGACUGCUAUCAGAGUGGGACUAAGCCAUGCGAGUCGACGUAGCAAUGCGUGGCGAACGGCUCAGUAACACGUAGUCAACAUGCCCAGGGGACGUGGAUAACCUCGGGAAACUGAGAAUAAACCACGAUAGGUCACGAUUUCUGGAAUGGAUCAUGGCCUAAAUCUACAUGGCCCCUGGAUUGGACUGCGGCCGAUCAGGCUGUUGGUGAGGUAAUGGCCCACCAAACCUAUAACCGGUACGGGCUCUGAGAGGAGAAGCCCGGAGAUGGGCACUGAGACAAGGGCCCAGGCCCUAUGGGGCGCAGCAGGCGCGAAACCUCUGCAAUAGGCGAAAGCCUGACAGGGUUACUCUGAGUGAUUUCCGCUAAGGGGAUCUUUUGGCACCUCUAAAAAUGGUGCAGAAUAAGGGGUGGGCAAGUCUGGUGUCAGCCGCCGCGGUAAUACCAGCACCCCGAGUGGUCGGGACGAUUAUUGGGCCUAAAGCAUCCGUAGCCGGUUCUGCAAGUCUUCCGUUAAAUCCAGCCGCUCAACGGAUGGGCCGCGGAGGAUACUACAGGACUAGGAGGCGGGAGAGGCAAGCGGUACUCAGUGGGUAGGGGUAAAAUCCUUUGAUCCAUUGAAGACCACCAGUGGCGAAGGCGGCUUGCCAGAACGCGCUCGACGGUGAGGGAUGAAAGCUGGGGGAGCAAACCGGAUUAGAUACCCGGGUAGUCCCAGCUGUAAACGAUGCAGACUCGGUGAUGAGUUGGCUUAUUGCUAACUCAGUGCCGCAGGGAAGCCGUUAAGUUUGCCGCCUGGGGAGUACGGUCGCAAGACUGAAACUUAAAGGAUUGGCGGGGGAGCA
rnacentral:rRNA from 1 species